GGCCCCAUCGUCUAACGGUUAGGACGCCGGCUUUUCAAGCCGUUAAUCGGAGUUCGAUUCUCCGUGGGGUCACCA
rnacentral:tRNA from 1 species